rnacentral:snRNA from 1 species
AUUGCUUCUUGGCCUUUUGGCUAAGAUCAAGUGUAGUACCAUUGAGCUAUAUUCUUAGCUUUCAAACCACCUAACUUGUUUAAAGAACUGUCAUAUGGUGGCAUGGUUACUGUACCACUUUACAUUUCCACCAGCAGUGC